AAGGCAAAGAGAACUACAAAACAGCCAGAAAACAAUUAACAAACUGGCAAUAAGUAUAUACAUGUCAAUAAUUAUUUUAAAUGAAAAUGGACUAAAUUCUCCAA